rnacentral:rRNA from 1 species
GAAACCAUGCGCCUACGAACCGUCGGGGCCCUCUUGUGGGGUGACGGCGUGCCUAUCGAAAAAUGAGUCUGCGAGUCAGUGGCAUGUGGCGAGCAUAACCCGUGUGGGGUAUGCGUAGCGAAGGCGAGUCUUAAAAGGCGUUUGAGUCGCGUGUCCUGGACCCGAAGCGGGAUGAUCUAGCCCUGAGCAGGUUGAAGCGCGGGUAAGACCGUGUGGAGGACCGAACCCACCUGGGUUGAAAACCGGGGGGAUGACUUGGGGCUAGGGGUGAAAGGCCAAUCAAAUUCCGUGAUAGCUGGUUCUCUCCGAAAUGCAUUUAGGUGCAGCGUCGGAUCGAUUACAUCCGGGGGGUAGAGCGACUGGAUGCUUGCGGGCCCAUAUCGGGUACCAACAGCAACCAAACUCCGAAUACCCGUGAUGCGUAUCCCGGCAGUGAGUCGGCGGGGGAUAAGCUCCGUCGUCGAAAGGGAAACAGCCCAGAUCGUCGUCUAAGGUCCCCAAGCGUGUGCUAAGUGGGAAAGGAUGUGGAGUCGCAUAGACAGCCAGGAGGUUGGCUCAGAAGCAGCCACCCUUGAAAGAGUGCGUAACAGCUCACUGGUCUAGUGGUUCCGCGCCGACAAUGUAGCGGGGCUCAAGCACACCACCGAAGACGCGGCAGUAGCUUUGCUACUGGGUAGGAGAGCGUCCCGUGCGGGGCGAAGCGGCGGCGCAAGCCCGCCGUGGACCGCAUGGGAGUGAGAAUGCAGACAUGAGUAGCGAAAGACGGGUGAAGAUCCCGUCCGCUGGACGACCAAGGGUUCCAGGGCCACGUUCAUCGUCCCUGGGUGAGUCGGGUCCUAAGGCGAGGCCGACAGGCGUAGUCGAAUGGACGAACGGGUCGAUAUUCCCGUACCGGCAUGCAACCGGCAAAACCGAAUCCGCGAGUACUAACCUCCGGGUCCGGGCUCACGUCUCCUUCGGGAGCCGGAUGCCCUGGCCUGUUGGGACCGUAACGGUAGUAGGUCAGCGCGGGAGUGACGCAGAAGGGUAGCCGGCCGCGGAGGUGGUCUUCCGUGGUCAAGCACGCAGCCCGUCCCACAGGCAAAUCCGUGGGGCGCGUGGGCGAGGUGCGAUGAUGGGCGCCGUUGGGCGCGAUAUCCGGUGAUCCCGGCUGCCGAGAAAAGCUUCGGCGUGAGGCGGCAUGCCGCCCGUACCCCAAACCGACACUGGUGGUCAGGUAGAGAAUACCAAAGCGAUCGAGCGAAUCCUGGUCAAGGAACUCGGCAAAUCACUCCCGUUCCUUCGGUUUAAGGGAGACCCCCGAUGGUGAAGCGGCUUGCCCGCGGAGCUUUUGGGGGUGGCACAGACCAGGGGGUAGCGACUGUUUACCAAAAACACAGGAGCGUGCGAAGGCGCAAGCCGCUGUAUACGCUCUGACGCCUGCCCGGUGCCGGAAGGUUAAGAGGAUCCGUCAGGCCUCGGCCGAAGCGGUGAAUUCAAGCCCCGGUAAACGGCGGUGGUAACUAUAACCAUCCUAAGGUAGCGAAAUUCCUUGUCGGGUAAGUUCCGACCUGCACGAAUGGCGUAACGACUUCCCCACUGUCUCGACCAGGAGCUCGGCGAAAUUGCAGUACGAGUAAAGAUGCUCGUUAAGCGCAGAAGGACGAAAAGACCCCGGGACCUUUACUAU